UUAAGUUCAGCGGGUAUUCCUACCUGAUCCGAGGUCAACCUUGUGUAAAAAUAGUGGUUUUACGGCAGGAAACCCGCAAAGCCCCAGUGCGAGAUGUAUUACUACGCAAAGGAGGCUCUAACGAGUCCGCCACUGAUUUCAGGGCCUACAAAAGUAGGGCCCCAACACCAAGCAGUGCUUGAGGGUUGAUAAUGACGCUC
rnacentral:misc_RNA from 1 species